CUUCCUGGGGGAGUCUGAGGCUCAGGUUGUCUAGGGUGCUUUUCUGCUGUUGUGGUGAAGUGGGCUCAGUGUUCCCCCGUGGGCUGUUUUUUCUUCGUGUUUUCUGCCAUCUAUGUGAAAUAGUUUUAGUGACUCUAUGAGCUAGCUAUGUUGGCGGUGCCUUCUCAGUACAGCAGAACCCUGGUGGUGUGACUUCCCUGUGAAGCAGUGUGUGGAAGUGACUCAGGUUCAGAAGCUGGCAGGCCUGCGUGUCUCUGCUGCGGAGAAAGUUCUGGAAGAGGUCCACCAACAGAGAGAAUCGAUUUUCCUCCCCACCUGUAGAAACCACUGUCUGAGCUAUCGAGGAAAGCAUCCUCCUGAGAAAGGAAGAUGCCAGAGAGGGAGCACAGCCCGUGCCACCCUGUAAUUUUGCCACCGUGAUGGAGGUCUGGUCCCCAGGUUCAUCUUUCUGAAGCAACGCGUCUUAUGGGGACCAAGUUCUGUGGUGCGCUGCCAAUCCUAAGCUGCAGUUGGAAUCUCAAACUGUCAUCUCAGCUUGACUGGCACCUGAAGUUGGAAGGAUGCAGGAAAAAUUCAACAAUGUGCUCCACCGUUCUUACAGCCUUCAAGCUUGAGACUAACAGGUGACAGAGACUGUCUUGGGCAACAUGGUCAGAAAAUGCUGGCGUGCAUAAGGUGUGUUGCAACUGUCCAUCAACUGCAAAUGAGCUCUUCAUCAAAAGAAGAUUUGAUGUAGGUAAAGUGUAAAAGAUAAGCAAGAUGAUUUUCCUUGGGACAGGAGGCAACAUUUAUUUCUACAAUUUGGAAGAGGGGAUAUUUUCUCUCCAGGAGAGGAUGGACCAUGAAAGGGCUUUGUUUGACCAACACUAAUCUCUACUGCAUCAGCUUCAAUACUUGAAAAAUAUGUUCAUCUAGACAGUUAGAGCUGCUGCUUUCUUGUUUUAGUGUCUUGGAUUAAGACUUGUGUGGUCUUAGAAUCAGAGCCAUGAUUAAUGCUGAGAAGAAAUAUUAGGGUAAGCUUCAUGCAUUGUAGGCAAGCAGCUAAGAGUGUUACUGUCCAGGAGCACCCCCAGAGAAACCAUUUCUUCACUACAGCAGAGGUCAAGUACAAUCAUACAACUCUCAUCUGCAUGGCAGUUCAAUGAGUGUACCUCAAUCACUUCCCACUUGUAGAGUUAGAAUGGGAUGUAAACAGAAAAGAUACAGCUUGACUGAGGUUCCUGCAUGACUGUGUACAGUAAAUUCUGUACUUUAGCUAUUCUUUAGCUAUUUAGCUAUUCAAAUAUUUUUUCUUUCUACCUAGGAGAUAGGAACAAAGCAAAACUGAAAUUUGGGACAAUAAACCACAGGAAAACUACAGCAUGGUUAUUUUUCUGAAGAAUCUAUAGAUACUUGAACAUAAGCUCUUUCUCUCUCUCUUUUAUUUUUAUUUUUAUUAUU